AUUGAACGCUGGCGGCAGGCUUAACACAUGCAAGUCGAGCGGGGUGAUGGUGCUUGCACUAUCACUUAGCGGCGGACGGGUGAGUAAUGCUUAGGAAUCUGCCUAUUAGUGGGGGACAACAUCGCGAAAGGGAUGCUAAUACCGCAUACGUCCUACGGGAGAAAUCGGGGGAUCACUUGUGACCUUGCGCUAAUAGAUGAGCCUAAGUCGGAUUAGCUAGUUGGUGGGGUAAAGGCCUACCAAGGCGACGAUCUGUAGCGGGUCUGAGAGGAUGAUCCGCCACACUGGGACUGAGACACGGCCCAGACUCCUACGGGAGGCAGCAGUGGGGAAUAUUGGACAAUGGGGGGAACCCUGAUCCAGCCAUGCCGCGUGUGUGAAGAAGGCCUUAUGGUUGUAAAGCACUUUAAGCGAGGAGGAGGCUCUUUUGGUUAAUACCCAAGAUGAGUGGACGUUACUCGCAGAAUAAGCACCGGCUAACUCUGUGCCAGCCGCCGCCGUAA
rnacentral:rRNA from 1 species